rnacentral:lncRNA from 1 species
UGGUCUGCCAGAUCUUCUGUGUCCAGUAGGAACAACAGAAGAAGAAGUAGGGAAAGGAGGAGAAGGAACAACAGGAAGAGGAACAGAAGGAGAGGAAAGAGAGGAAGGGAGUGAAGGAGAAGCUGGGCUGGAAGCAGAAGGGGAAGAAAUAGGAGGAGAAUGACAAGGGAAAGUAGGCAGGACAAAAUUAGAACAUGGAAUAUCAGAGGAAGGAACAGGAGGAGGAGGAAAAACACAAUCAGGAGGAGGGACAGAAGAAGCAGAAUGAAAAGGAAAACAGGUUUCAUGAAAUACAACAUCUC